rnacentral:ncRNA from 1 species
UAUUAGGCGAUGAUGGGAAAUAGUAAAUGCUGAAGUAUUAUCCAGAGAGGAAGUGUAAGGUGAAAACUUCUUAAUAUAAGUAUUGAAGCUGUCUUGGAGCCAUAACAAUUUGAGAGAUAUAUGUACAUAAUUUACAUGUAGUAUGUAUUAAUAUAUAACUAGGGUGGUACCGCGAAGCUUUCGUCCCUUGA